GACGAACGCUGGCGGCGUGCCUAAUACAUGCAAGUUGAGCGCUGAAGGUUGGUACUUGUACCAACUGGAUGAGCAGCGAACGGGUGAGUAACGCGUGGGGAAUCUGCCUUUGAGCGGGGGACAACAUUUGGAAACGAAUGCUAAUACCGCAUAAAAACUUUAAACACAAGUUUUAAGUUUGAAAGAUGCAAUUGCAUCACUCAAAGAUGAUCCCGCGUUGUAUUAGCUAGUUGGUGAGGUAAAGGCUCACCAAGGCGAUGAUACAUAGCCGACCUGAGAGGGUGAUCGGCCACAUUGGGACUGAGACACGGCCCAAACUCCUACGGGAGGCAGCAGUAGGGAAUCUUCGGCAAUAGACGAAAGUCUGACCGAGCAACGCCGCGUGAGUGAAGAAUGUUUUCGGAUCGUAAAACUCUGUUGGUAGAGAAGAACGUUGGUGAGAGUGGAAAGCGCAUCAAGUGACGGUAACUACCCAGAAAGGGACGGCUAACUACGUG
rnacentral:rRNA from 1 species